UCAUAUCGACGGCGGUGUUUGGCACCUCGAUGUCGGCUCAUCACAUCCUGGGGCUGAAGUAGGUCCCAAGGGUAUGGCUGUUCGCCAUUUAAAGUGGUACGCGAGCUGGGUUUAGAACGUCGUGAGACAGUUCGGUCCCUAUCUGCCGUGGGCGUUGGAAGAUUGAGAGGGGCUGCUCCUAGUACGAGAGGACCGGAGUGGACGCACCGCUGGUGUUCGGGUUGUGAUGCCAAUUGCAUUGCCCGGUAGCUACGUGCGGAAAAGAUAAGCGCUGAAAGCAUCUAAGCGCGAAACUUGCCUCGAGAUGAGUCUUCCCUUGGGCCUUGAGCCCACUGAAGGAACGUUUAAGACUAAGACGUUGAUAGGCUGGGUGUGUAAGCGUAGCGAUACGUUGAGCUAACCAGUACUAAUGAUCCGUGAGACUUAACCUUACAACACCGAAGGUGUUU
rnacentral:rRNA from 1 species